rnacentral:rRNA from 1 species
AGGACGAACGCUGGCGGCGUGCUUAACACAUGCAAGUCGAGCGGUAAGGCCCUUUCGGGGGUACACGAGCGGCGAACGGGUGAGUAACACGUGAGCAAUCUGCCCUUCACUUCGGGAUAAGCCUCGGGAAACGGGGUCUAAUACCGGAUAUGACUGCGCCAUGCAUGUGGUGUGGGUGGAAAGUU